UACGGAAGGCAGCAGUGGGGAAUAUUGCACAAUGGGCGCAAGCCUGAUGCAGCCAUGCCGCGUGUAUGAAGAAGGCCUUCGGGUUGUAAAGUACUUUCAGUCGUGAGGAAGGUGUUAAGGUUAAUAACCUUAGCAAUUGACGUUAGCGACAGAAGAAGCACCGGCUAACUCCGUGCCAGCAGCCGCGGUAAUACGGAGGGUGCGAGCGUUAAUCGGAAUUACUGGGCGUAAAGGGCACGCAGGCGGUUAAUUAAGUUGGAUGUGAAAUCCCCGGGCUUAACCUGGGAAUGGCAUUCAAGACUGGUUAGCUAGAGUCUUGUAGAGGGGGUAGAAUUCCAUGUGUAGCGGUGAAAUGCGUAGAGAUGUGGAGGAAUACCGGUGGCGAAGGCGGCCCCUGGACAAAGACUGACGCUCAUGUGCGAAAGCGUGGGGAGCAAACAGGGAUUUAGAUACC
rnacentral:rRNA from 1 species